CUCUCUCUCAUUUCAUCUCAUCUCAUCUCCUUCAUUUGCUCUGAGUUUCAGUAUGAGUCUGCUUAUGACCGGAUUAUCAGCGGAUCACUUGGUAAACUUGCUCCAUGUCCCUCUUUGGUGAAGGAAAAGAGUGAAAGAGAAAGGCAUUGUUUACUUCCUCUUUUCCCCAAUUCACUUUUUGAAACUCCUGAUAUUUCUUCUAUUGUGCUCAAGUCUUGAUUGUCAUUACGAGAAUGUAACUCUUCAG
rnacentral:lncRNA from 11 species